UUACGGCCAUAUCACGUUGAAACACCGGUUUUCAUACGAUCGCCGAAGUUAAGCAACAUCGAACCUAGUCGCUACCUAGAUGAGUGACCGCUUAGAAAUACCCGG